CUCUUUCCCUCUCCGUUGCCUCUGUCUGACUCUCUCUCUCUCUCUCUCUCUCUCUCUAUGUCGAGGGUUUUGGCAAUUUGGAUGAAAUAAUAGAGGUGCUCCACUGCUACGCACAGCUGCCUAAGAUGGCUCUACCGAGCCUCCAAAGACCAUCUGUUGCAAAUAUAUUGGAAAAAAUAGUUUCAAACUAUCAUAUCCUUUAUGGUGGCCAGUUGGAUGAAGAAGUUGUACUGAGCAAGUAUACCAAUGCCCCACUACUAGUAUAUACAAAUAUUUAUAUUUUUGCUCAUUAGAUAAUCUUUGGUCAUUUCCUGCUUUGAAGGACCCUUUAAUUAUCAAUUAUUAAGUUUUUGGUACAAGGUAUUUUCCCUUGUGUGCUUUCCACAUAUUUUAGGUAGAGUUUGUUUCUUAAUCAGGUGGUAUACUUCUUUAUAUUUGGCCCUCUAUUACAUUUACUUGGUUACAAGUUUAUACUUGUAAUAAACCUAUGGCUCAAUAUGUGGGCUAUAUUGUUGUUGGAAAUGUUAAUUUUUGCACACUUGUAUUAUUUAAUGUGACAAAUGUUAAUUUUUCUUGUUACAUUCUUAACACAAUUUGAAGAUGAUGACAAGAGAAUUUCUCUUGUUACAUUCUUAAUUUUUCUGGCACCAUCCCCUUUUGCUUUGUCCUUAUGAGCAAUUUCAUAUUUUCUGGUGGAUCUCUCAUUUUAUAGGACUUGAUUUAGUUAAUUGAAACAUUCUCUCAACCCUUCCUCAUUAUAGUUUUUAGGGGCAGGAGCUUUCAUCUUGAUACAAAAACAAUGUCCUGUUUUUUUUUUUUUUUGCAAACUCUAUGUCCCCAUUAUAUUAGAAGGUGCUGUUAAUAGCUCAAUUUGUUUUGGUAUUUUGAAUUUCAAAUUCUUGGGCUGUUAUGCUGUUGGAAGUGCUGGAAGUAAAGAAAAGACAUGCUGAAGAUGUGGCUGCUUAUAUGUAGAUAUUGGUUGGUGCCCUGAAAGAAGCAUGGGGAAAAGUUGAUGGUAAAGAUUUCUGAAAUGCUCAACUUAGCUUGGUGGAACUAAGGAUGAUAGAGAGAUGCUGAAAGUGGUUUCAAUUUGCUUGAAGAAAUGUGACCCACACCUGCUUCCCCAACAUUCCCUUGGAAGUUAAAGCUUACACUCCACUAAUUCAGUACAUGGCAAGUGUUUAGAUGUUUUGGUUAGAAUUUGAUGGGAUGAAAUUUAGUUAUUUAUGUAAUAAGACUUGAUUGGAAACGGGCAACUGGCUAAGUAUCUAGGUGGUUGUUGCCCAUCACAUGUAACAUGUUAUAAUAUAUAUAUAUAUAUAUAUAUAAAAAUUAAUGUAGAUGUGGAGUUUGACUUGGCUGAAUGAAAGAGCAAAACAUCUAAACAUGUGUAAGCAAUUUGUAGAUACUUGUUAAUGAUAGUUGGAUUUGUCUUGA